rnacentral:rRNA from 1 species
AUUGAACGCUGGCGGCAUGCCUUACACAUGCAAGUCGAACGGCAGCACGGGUGCUUGCACCUGGUGGCGAGUGGCGAACGGGUGAGUAAUACAUCGGAACAUGUCCUGUAGUGGGGGAUAGCCCGGCGAAAGCCGGAUUAAUACCGCAUACGAUCUACGGAUGAAAGCGGGGGACCUUCGGGCCUCGCGCUAUAGGGUUGGCCGAUGGCUGAUUAGCUAGUUGGUGGGGUAAAGGCCUACCAAGGCGACGAUCAGUAGCUGGUCUGAGAGGACGACCAGCCAAACGGGGAAUGAGAAACGGCCCAGAAUCCUAAGGGAGGCAGCAGUGGGGAAUUUUGGAAAAUGGGCGAAAGCCUGAUCCAGCAAUGCCGCGUGUGUGAAGAAGGCCUUCGGGUUGGAAAGCACUUUUGGUCGGAAAGAAAACCUUGGCCCUAAUACGGUCGGGGGAUGACGGUACCGGAAGAAUAAGCACCGGCUAACUACGUG